UACGUAGGGUGCAAGCGUUGUCCGGAAUUAUUGGGCGUAAAGAGCUCGUAGGCGGUCUGUCGCGUCGGCUGUGAAAACCCGCAGCUCAACUGUGGGCUUGCAGCUGAUACGGGCAGGCUUGAGUUCGGUAGGGGAGACUGGAAUUCCUGGUGUAGCGGUGAAAUGCGCAGAUAUCAGGAGGAACACCGAUGGCGAAGGCAGGGUCUCUGGGGCAUUUAACUGACGCUGAGGAGCGAAAGCAUGGGAGCGAACAGG
rnacentral:rRNA from 1 species